rnacentral:ncRNA from 1 species
CUAAAAACUUUGAAAGAAAUCAGUAGUCCCCAUGGUUACAAUUUUAGAGAGUAGAUCGGUUGGUGAAAGAUCUAUAGCACAUGGUAAGAUGAAUUACAUUCUGGAGUUGCAAGGUCAAAAGCUUUGCCGGUUUUCACCCGUUAUCGUGUUUUGAGGCAUCGAUUCGAUGUAAAUUAAGGUGGUACCACGAGUUAUCUCGUCCUUUUG